AUACGGAGGGUGCAAGCGUUAAUCGGAAUUACUGGGCGUAAAGCGCGCGUAGGCGGCUGAUUAAGUCGGAUGAGAAAUCCCUGGGCUCAACCUAGGAACUGCAUCCGAUACUGGUCAGCUAGAGUUUUGGAGAGGUAAGUGGAAUUUCCGGUGUAGCGGUGAAAUGCAUAGAGAUCGGAAGGAACACCAGUGGCGAAGGCGACUUACUGGCCAAAAACUGACGCUGAGGUGCGAAAGCGUGGGUAGCGAACAGGAUUAGAAACCCUAGUAGUCC
rnacentral:rRNA from 1 species